rnacentral:rRNA from 1 species
UCGGGAAUUUUGGGCAAUGGGCGAAAGCCUGACCCAGCAACGCCGCGUGAAGGAUGAAGUAUUUCGGUAUGUAAACUCCGAAAGAAUAGGAAGAAUGAAUGACGGUACUAUUUAUAAGGUCCGGCUAACUACGUGCCAGCAGCCGCGGUAAUACGUAGGGACCAAGCGUUGUUCGGAUUUACUGGGCGUAAAGGGCGCGUAGGCGGCAUGACAAGUCACUUGUGAAAUCUCUGGGCUUAACCCAGAACGGCCAAGUGAUACUGUCGCGCUAGAGUGCAGAAGGGGCAAUCGGAAUUCUUGGUGUAGCGGUGAAAUGCGUAGAUAUCAAGAGGAACACCUGAGGUGAAGACGGGUUGCUGGGCUGACACUGACGCUGAGGCGCGAAAGCCAGGGGAGCAAACGGGAUUAGAUACCCCCGUAGUCCCUGAGCGGGCUGGCAAGGCGCAU